UAGUAUAAGUUAAUAUAUAUACUUUCUGAUAUACUAUAGACAGAUAAUUAGAAAUAGUCUGACUACAUCCAGAACAUGCUACACUAAAAGGGGAGUUCUCAGGGCUGCCAGCCUUACAGUAGAGGUUGGGUGGCAGUAUAUUUCUCCUACAGAA